UCCCAAAGCACUGGGGUUACAGGCAUGAACCACCACAUCCGGCCCACACUUGACACAUCUAUCUACAGAGUCGCUCAAGGCAAGAAGACCCAGUGCCAGCAAGACUGAAACAAAAAAGCAAAAGAGCUUUUAAGAGCAAGCCUUCUGACUCAGAACCUGCUCCCGGACCUCCCCGUGGUCUCCCUGGACCAGUGCUGUGACUCUGGGGGAACGCCAGGGAAGGAAGAGAGGAA
rnacentral:lncRNA from 1 species